rnacentral:rRNA from 1 species
UACAGAGGGUGCAAGCGUUGUUCGGAAUUAUUGGGCGUAAAGCGCGUGUAGGCGGCUUUGCAAGUCGGAUGUGAAAGCCCUCGGCUCAACCGAGGAAGUGCGUUCGAAACUGCAGAGCUUGAGUGCCGGAGAGGGUGGCGGAAUUCCCCAAGUAGAGGUGAAAUUCGUAGAUAUGGGGAGGGACACCGGUUGCGAAGGCGGCCCCCUGGACGGUCACUGAAGCUGAGACGCGAAAGCGUGGGAGAGCAAACAGG